AAAGCCUUUGAUUUUUCUCCUAAGGAACAUAAAUUACAGUCAGUUUCAGGAAAUUCUUAUAUUGAUAAGGUAAUUUUGUUUAAUAUGGGCAUUCUUAAGAAGAAAGGGUCUACCUUUAUCCUUGCUAACCUUGACAGCAACCGUAGACUAGAGACAGAUACAUUCCAGCCUUAUGAAUCUCAGAUAGAACACCAAUAUGCUGGUAAUUCAUAGCAACUAGCAGCCUCUAUUGCCACCAUUCUUUCCACCCUGAAAAACAUUGAAGCCC
rnacentral:misc_RNA from 1 species